rnacentral:rRNA from 1 species
GACGAACGCUGGCGGCACGCUUAACACAUGCAAGUCGAACGAAAAUGUUUCACCGUAGCUUGCUACACCGAGACAUUUUAGUGGCGGACGGGUGAGUAACACGUGAGGAACCUGCCUAUCAGAGAGGGAUACCGUUUGGAAACGAACGUUAAUACCUCAUAACGUAACGAGAUCGCAUGAUAAUGUUACCAAAGAUUUAUCGCUGAUAGAUGGCCUCGCGUCUGAUUAGAUAGUUGGUGAGGUAACGGCUCACCAAGUCGACGAUCAGUAGCCGGACUGAGAGGUUGAACGGCCACAUUGGGACUGAGACACGGCCCAGACUCCUACGGGAGGCAGCAGUGGGGAAUAUUGCACAAUGGGGGAAACCCUGAUGCAGCGACGCCGCGUGAGUGAAGAAGUAUUUCGGUAUGUAAAGCUCUAUCAGCAGGAAAGAUAAUGACGGUACCUGACUAAGAAGCCCCGGCUAACUACGUGCCAGCAGCCGCGGU